CAGAUCGCCCAGAUGGGGAUCGGCCAUAAAGCGGGACAUCGCUCCUGCGGUGCUCCCGAUGUCUGUACCCAUGUUGCUCAAAGGAGGAUAUGGCUAUGGCAA
rfam:Celeribacter indicus strain P73, complete genome.